AUCACUGUUGUAUCAUGUGUUCCGUUAACCGACCGACCCACUCCUUUGGUUUAAUUCCCCAACGUCACCGCCCACCCUAGCGACAAAGGCUUCCCGUUUAUUAUUGUCAUGUGUACUGAGGUACAGUUAAAUGCUUUGUUUUGCAUGUUGUUUGUUCGGAUCAGAUAAUGCUAUACGUAUUUACAAUGGUACUUUAUUUGUCAAAUUCAUUGUUGUGUACAGUUCAGUGGCAGAGUCACUAUGCAUAAGGCCUUAGACAAUCAGGUCAAACUCAAGUACAAUAGGUGGAGGAUACAGAAUGCAGAAUAUAGUUCUCAGCAUUGUAGCGCAUCAGUUCCGCAGACAAUGUUUGCAGUGGGCUAGAGGUGAAUCGGACAAUACCCUAGAUUAUAGAAGGACCGUGAAGGGAGCAUUUGGGAAUAGUGAUUGAUUCACAGAUGCAACAGAGAUUUAAGUAGAGUGAUUGUGUCAGAUGAUAGUACAUCCUUUGGGAAGAGCACAAAAAGAAUCGCCACACUCUUGCUCUGUGUCCUUGCUUCUCUCUCCAUAGAUGCUACCCGACCUGCUGAGUGCUUCCAGCAUUUUCUGUUAUCUAAUAUCAAUGGUCAGUGAUUAUCCAUGGGUAUCUGGAGAGAGCCAGCUCUGGUCACCUGCCUGUUCACUGAAGGAUUGAUCCCCUCCACCAGGUCUCCUGCCCCUGAUGAGCCCAGCGUUUGUUGAGGCCACUGCACCACCCUCCAUGGUGGAAGAGCUGAUCUGUAAUUUGUUUAGAAGUUUGUACUCUGGGCCACAGGGGAGCUGUGGGAAGCAAAACAGAACGUUGGAAGACCGUUCAAGGAGCGUCUGUGGAGGCAGAGUGUAAGUUGACGUUCUGGGUUGAGUCAUAGAGGGAACUGUGGGACAGUUUGCACCAUCAGCUGGACUAAGCCACAGUCGCCCGCUCUGAAGUUACAGGGUUUGAAACCGAGAAAGCACUAAGUCUGUAAACCAGAAAGACAGCUGUGGAAGUAUUCUGCAUCAGUCAUAGGAGCAGAAUUGGUCCAUUCGGCCCAUCAAGUCUACUCUGCCAUUAAAUCAUGGCUGAACUGCCCCCUUCUCCCCAUAACCUUCAACACCCUUACCAAUCAAGAACUUUUAACUGCCUGCACACAAUCCAGAUCACUCCACAUCCAUCCGCCCAUCCAAGUCUCUGCUUCCACCAAUCCUGCCAGCGCAUUUCACGCAGUCUCAACCCCUGUACAGAAAAACUUGCCAUUCACAUCUCCUUUGUUUCUUUCACCUUAAA